UACGGGGGGUGCGAGCGUUGUCCGGAAUCAUUGGGCGUAAAGCGCACGUAGGCGGUUUGUUAAGUCGGAUGUGAAAGCCCUCGGCUCAAUCGAGGAAGUGCAUACGAAACUGGCGAACUUGAAUAUGGAAGAGGGUCGCGGAAUUCCCGGUGUAGAGGUGAAAUUCGUAGAUAUCGGGAGGAACACCAGUGGCGAAGGCGGCGACCUGGGCCAAUAUUGACGCUGAGGUGCGAAAGCGUGGGGAGCAAACAGG
rnacentral:rRNA from 1 species